UGCGCAGGCGGUUUUGUAAGACAGUGGUGAAAUCCCCGGGCUCAACCUGGGAACUGCCAUUGUGACUGCAAGGCUGGAGUGCGGCAGAGGGGGAUGGAAUUUCGCGUGUAGCAGUGAAAUGCGUAGAUAUGCGGAGGAACACCGAUGGCGAAGGCAAUCCCCUGGGCCUGCACUGACGCUCAUGCACGAAAGGCUGGGAGCAAACA
rnacentral:rRNA from 1 species